rnacentral:rRNA from 1 species
AGAUUGAACGCUGGCGGCAGGCCUAACACAUGCAAGUCGAGCGGCAGCACGGGUACUUGUACCUGGUGGCGAGCGGCGGACGGGUGAGUAAUGCCUAGGAAUCUGCCUGAUAGUGGGGGAUAACGUUCGGAAACGGACGCUAAUACCGCAUACGUCCUACGGGAGAAAGUGGGGGAUCUUCGGACCUCACGCUAUCAGAUGAGCCUAGGUCGGAUUAGCUAGUUGGAGGUAAAGCCUACCAAGGCUACGAUCCGUAACUGGUCUGAGAGGAUGAUCAGUCACACUGGAACUGAGACACGGUCCAGACUCACGGGAGCAGCGAGUGGGAAUAGUUGGAACAAGUGGGACGAAAGCC